UAGAGUUUGAUGCCUGGCUCAGAACGUACGCUGGCGGCACGCCUAACACAUGCAAGUCGAACGAAGUAGCAAUACUUAGUGGCAGACGGGUGAGUAACAUGUAGGUAUCUGCCCUUUGGCCUGGAAUAACACGAGGAAACUUGUGCUAAUACCGGAUAAGUCUUUACGGAGAAAGCUUUAUGCACCAUUGGAUGAGCCUGCACUUGAUUAGUUUGUUGGUGGGGUAAUGGCCUACCAAGACUGUGAUCAAUAGCUGAUUUGAGAGGAUGAUCAGCCACAUUGGGACUGAGACACGGCCCAAACUCCUACGGGAGGCAGCAGUGGGGAAUCUUGCACAAUGGAGGAAACUCUGAUGCAGCGAUGCCGCGUGAGUGAAGAAGGCCCUUGGGUUGUAAAGCUCUUUCGUCGGGGAAGAAAAUGACUGUACCCGAAUAAGAAGGUCCGGCUAACUUCGUGCCAGCAGCCGCGGUAAUACGAAGGGACCUAGCGUAGUUCGGAAUUACUGGGCUUAAAGAGUUCGUAGGUGGUUGAAAAAGUUGGUGGUGAAAUCCCAGAGCUUAACUCUGGAACUGCCAUCAAAACUUUUCAGCUAGAGUAUGAUAGAGGAAAGCAGAAUUUCUAGUGUAGAGGUGAAAUUCGUAGAUAUUAGAAAGAAUACCAAUUGCGAAGGCAGCUUUCUGGAUCAUUACUGACACUGAGGAACGAAAGCAUGGGUAGCGAAGAGGAUUAGAUACCCUCGUAGUCCAUGCCGUAAACGAUGUGUGUUAGACGUUGGAAAUUUAUUUUCAGUGUCGCAGCGAAAGCGAUAAACACACCGCCUGGGGAGUACGACCGCAAGGUUAAAACUCAAAUGAAUUGACGGGGACCCGCACAAGUAGUGGAGCAUGUGGUUUAAUUCGAAGAUACGCGCAGAACCUUACCAACACUUGACAUGUUCGUCGCGACUCUAAGAGAUUAGAGUUUUCGGUUCGGCCGGACGAAACACAGGUGCUGCAUGGCUGUCGUCAGCUCGUGUCGUGAGAUGUUGGGUUAAGUCCCGCAACGAGCGCAACCCUCACUUUUAGUUGCCAUCAUUAAGUUGGGCACUCUGAAAGAACUGCCAGUGAUAAGCUGGAGGAAGGUGGGGAUGACGUCAAGUCCUCAUGGCCCUUACGUGUUGGGCUACACACGUGCUACAAUGGUAUCUACAACAGGAAGCAAGACUGCGAAGUUAAGCAAAUCCCUAAAAGAUACCUCAGUUCGGAUUGCACUCUGCAACUCGAGUGCAUGAAGCUGGAAUUACUAGUAAUCGUGGAUCAGCGUGCCACGGUGAAUGCGUUCCCGGGUCUUGUACACACCGCCCGUCA
rnacentral:rRNA from 2 species